AUUGAACGCUGGCGGCAGGCCUAACACAUGCAAGUCGAGCGAGCGGCGGACGGGUGAGUAAUGUAUGGGGACUGCCCGAUAGAGGGGGAUAACUACUGGAAACGGUGGCUAAUACCGCAUACUAUCGGAUAACCCAUAUGGGAUUAGCUAGUAGUUGGGGUAAAGGCUAACAUAGGCUACGAUCUCUAGCUGGUCUGAGAGGAUGAUCAUCCCCACUUGUACUGUGACACGGCCCAGACUCCUACGGAGGCAGCAGGGGUGAAUAUUGCACAAUUGGCGCAAGCCUGUUGCAGCCAUGCCGCGUGUAGGAAGAAGGCCUUAGGGUUGUAAAGUACUUUCAGCGGGGAGGCGUUACCCGCAGAAGAAGCACCGACUAACUCCGUGCCAGCAGCCGCGGUAAUUC
rnacentral:rRNA from 1 species